rnacentral:lncRNA from 1 species
CUCCUCCCCUCGGCGGCGUGACAGCCUCGGCCUGCCGGUCUCCCGGGUGGGCUGGGGGGCGGGCACAGGCACCCCGGCCACUUUGGAGGCUCGGGGAGAGGUUCGUAGAAGAGGCUGAGCGGACGGAGCGGAGGCGGUGCCAGGCGCCAGGCGUCCACCUGCGAGGAAGGCGCAGCGGCCGUGGGAGCCUGGGCGGCGGUGGCGGCAGCAUUGUGCUCCGAGCUGCAAGACCUGGAUUCAGAAUGCAGGCCAGGGAGGAGAUUCCAGAGUCCGGAUCCAGGUGGAAUGGAGGCCACAUUCACAGAGCGGGGGGUGGAGGGGGGCUGCUCUCCUCCCCCCCCCCCCCCCCCCCACGUAGAAGCAAGAAAAGAACGGAAAACUUCCCAGAGGCAUCCAGCAAAGGUGUCAAGGAAACAAGAGAGCAGGUCACAGCCACCAGCUCCCUGGGG